UACGUAGGCAGCGAGCGUUGUUCGGAAUUACUGGGCGUAAAGAGUGUGUAGGCGGUGUUCCCAGUCUGUUGUGAAAUCUCCCGGCUUAACUGGGAGGGUGCAGCGGAAACUAGAAUGCUAGAGGGUGGGAGAGGUAAGCGGAAUUCCUGGUGUAGCGGUGAAAUGCGUAGAUAUCAGGAGGCACACCUGUGGUGUAGACAGCUUACUGGACCACUUCUGACGCUGAGACACGAAAGCGUGGGUAGCAAACAGG
rnacentral:rRNA from 1 species